UACGUAGGUGGCGAGCGUUAUCCGGAUUUAUUGGGUUUAAAGGGAGCGUAGGCGGCUAAUUAAGUCAGUGGUUAAAGGUAGCAGCUUAACUGUUUUACAUGCCAUUGAUACUGGUUAGCUUGAGUUGACGGAAGGCAGAUAGAAUUUCUGGUGUAGCGGUGAAAUGCUUAGAUACCAGAAGGAAUACCGAUUGCGAAGGCAGUCUGCUGCAGUCACACUGACGCUGAGGCUCGAAGGUGCGGGGAUCAAACAGG
rnacentral:rRNA from 1 species